AUGCCUCAAUAUUUGCUCUAGCCGUCUUUCAACUCAAGAGAAAAACCCCUAGCUUUUGUUCAUGCCAUCUUCUCACCAUCGUAUGAAAACACUUCUAACCAUCACAAAUCACCAUCUUCUCCCAAACCUCGAGCUUUGUAGUAUGGAUUAGCUUUUGUUGGGUUAGAUUAGGGUUCGAGUUGGGUUAGAUUUGGGGUUUUCGUUCUACUGAAAAGAGGGAUUGAGUUCUCAAUAAUCGAGUUGGGUUCUACUUGAUUGGGGUUCUAGUUGGGAUUGAGUUCUCAUUACAUUCUGCUGAGAAGGAGGUUUGAGUUAUCACCAAUCGAUUUGGGUUCGAGUUUCUGAAAUCCUUGUGAUUGGUGUGAAACCGCAGUGGAAAGUGAUAGAUUUCAAGUGGAUAAGGGAGAACAAGGAUGUUGUUGCUUGGGUAAAUGCUUUAUCAUUCUGCAUAUGGUUUACUAAGAUCCCAUUCUUCUGGUUUAUUAAGAUAUGGUCAUAGACUGAAUUGGAUAUGCUUUUGGUACUAUGAAUUGAGAUAUGCUUAUAAUUUUUGUUUGCUUUUUAUAGUAUUGCAGCCUAGUUUCUUCGGAUUUGGGUGAUGUCUGGUAUGAGUCUGGAAAUACAUCAUUUUCAUAUGGCUUGAUUAUUGGGAUUUUGAUUCAUUUGUAAAUUUGCAGUUUCUAGAAUUGAAAUACAUAUAAUAUUCUGCUUGUUUUAGAACUAUGUUGUGUUUAGAGCGAUCUUCUUUUUUCUACCUCACACCACUUGUUCAAUGUUAUGCCUCACAGAACCCUUCACUUUAAUUGGGUGGGAAAAACAAUAUUUUUUAGCUUUCUUAUUACUUGGGUGCUGGAAAUUAAUAUAUUGUAGAUGAGGAGUAGAAGGUUGUUGGUGUGCUUUAUAUGAGUUUUGAGUGUUGUACUUAUUCUGAUAUUUCUAAGUAACUGUUGGGAGUUUAAUAUAUGAAGGCUUAUGGCUAUUGGAUGAUGCAGUCCUUUACAUGUUCCUGUAAAAUAACUGAGCACAACUUACAACUAUAUUAGACUUGGUUUGUGCUUUGAUCGGUCAUGAAUUUAGGUUUCUUUUUUGUUGUCCUUUUGUUCUGCAUCUUAGUUUAUCUCUACAUCCAAAGAUACAUCAUAAGGUUAUAUAUAAAUUAUGAAACUGAUACUAUGCCAAAAACAAAGUAAUGAAGUGAUUAUCUAACUUUUCGUUCAGGUCAUUAGUGGGACUCAUAGGCAAUAGCCUUGGUACCGAUUUCAUUAAUCAAUGUAUCAAAUAUUGAUCUUAAGAAUAAAAUGUAUAUGUAUGAAAUUAAAACUACUGGAGAUCAGCAGGUUAUCUGCGUGAUUGAUUCACUCAUUUGAUGCUAGUAUUCUUUUAUUUUAUUAUUUCUCUUCUUAAAAGGAUUGGUGUUGCAAAUCGUAUUUAGGACUCAAGUCUUCCAUUGCAAUGUUGAUUCUUCUGGUAAUGUAAGUUUGGAAAUCGUAAAGGAUGGUUGGAGUCCAGCUCUAACGAUUACAAAGGUGCUACUAGCAAUUUAGUCCAUGUUCACAAAACCUGAUCCUUGUAAGUUCUUCUAUUAUACUUUGAGCUUUCUUUGUGGUAUUGUUUGUAUGCAUGUUCUUGUUCUUGGUCUUUGUAUAGCAAUAGUUUACUUGUAGGACUAAAUGUUAGUAUUUUGAAGGAACUCAUACUGGUGUUAAACAUCAUCAAAGAAGAAAGCGGCACUCAUUUUCCUUUUUGUUUCUUGACUUGAUCAUUGGUUUAAGAUAAAAUAUAUUCCCCAAUAUCAAACUCGUUUAGCACCAACUCCAAAUGAUAUGUUGCUCGUACUGAUAUUCAUCUUUGAGUAGAUAAUCCGCUUGUCCCUAGCAUCGCCCAUUUGUACUUGGCAGUUAAAGCUAAACACGAUGAACUGGCUUAUGAGGGUGAUUCGCCAAGUGAGUUUUAUAGAGUUUGCUCACAUAGUACAAGCAUCAUGGUCAUCAUAUGUAAUUUUUCUUGGAUUGCACUUUAAUAAAAUAAAGAUAGAGGUUAGUGGAAGUAGUAUGCUCUAGCCUAGUUAACAAAGUAAACCUUCAUGCUGUCAAAACUAAUAAAAUGUGUACUUUUUUUUAAAAAAAAAUUGGUGAUUAGUAAGAGAUAAUGGUCACUGGAAGAAAUAUUUACUAGAUUUUCUCAAUAUCUUUAUAGUUUUGUAAUGCUCUGAGCAUAGUAUGGUGUUCAAUGUUCCUUUUAAUAUAAUAUCUGGAGCAAACAAAUUGCAGUGCCAGCAAGUGCUUAAAGAGCUAGAAGCAUCGGUCAAUCUUGAUGGGUUUCUAUGUAGUCAUAAUUGCACUUACUUUUGGUUAGUAUAUAUUUGUUGGAUUUGAUCAUCUGCUACAAGCUUGGCCAAGUGGUUGAGACUUGCUGUGAAUAAAUGGGGAACAUCAUUGCUGGUAAUAAGGUGGAAGUAUGGGGCACGAGUUCUUGUUGUCGUGGACUAGAACUAUAUGGGGGAAUGUUGCAUAAAGAGUCUUUGGGAGAUCGAGCGUGGAGUACCAAGCAUUAAUCCAACAAGUUAUAUUUUGUUUCAUCAUGUAAAACUUAACCGGGAAACUUAAAUGCUUUUUAGUCUAUGAGAUGUAUGAAUGCUUUAGCAAUGUUCCUUAAAUUCAAUAUUUGAUGAAUUGAUGUAUCACAAUGACUUUGGUACAAAUGUUGAUCAUUUGAUAGUUUGCAUUCAAUUUGUAUUCCAAUUGUUCACUAUUAAUUUAU